CCCGUUGAACUCGAUUAUCCGGAGCGGAGAUAUUCACCAGCGGCUGGUCGGCGUUCCCCGCCGGCACGCCACUGGGCACUUAUCUCCGCGCACGCGGACAUUGCGAUCCAUUACGAACGCCGUUCCGCUUGCGGAACAAAAUGCCCGGCAAUUGCCCCUUGGUGCGGUGGCUAGUCCCGUAGUAGCGACGCUCAGCUCUGAAGGCCUGCGUCGCGAGCCGGGGCUUACCGCACGUGGUGUGCAGCCGGGCGCGUGAUGGAUUCAACCAGCACACCGUAGUGGUACCGCCUCGGCGGUCACCCCCCCAGGGCCUAUUGGUGGACGGAUUGUCGAUCGGCAAUGAGCGAAUCGAGGCACCUCCGGG
rnacentral:rRNA from 1 species